rnacentral:rRNA from 1 species
CCUACGGGAGGCAGCAGUCGAGAAUCAUUCACAAUGGGGGAAACCCUGAUGGUGCGACGCCGCGUGGGUGAAUGAAGGUCUUCGGAUUGUAAACCCCUGUCAUGUGGGAGCAAAUUCAAAAGAUAGUACCACAAGAGGAAGAGGCGGCUAACUCUGUGCCAGCAGCCGCGGUAAUACAGAGGUGGCAAGCGGUGUUCGGAAUCACUGGGCGUAAAGCGUGCGUAGGCUGUUUCGUAAGUCGUGUGUGAAAUGUGCGGGCUCAACCCGCGGACGGCACAUGAUACUGCGAGACUAGAGUAAAGGAGGGGGAACCGGAAUUCUCGGUGUAGCAGUGAAAUGCGUAGAGAUCGAGAGGAACACUAGUGGCGAAGGCGGGUUCCUGGACAUUAACUGACGCUGAGGCACGAAGGCCAGGGGAGCGAAAGGGAUUAGAUACCCGAGUAGUC